GGCUCUCUGCUAGUUAUAAAAAUGAGAAUAGAGAGUCUGACCUGCCCGGUGAUGUAGGAAUUAAACGGCCGCAGUACCCUGACUGUGCAAAGGUAGCAUAAUCAUUUGCCUUUUAAUUGAGGGCUAGUAUGAAAGGUUUGACGUGGACUAAGCUGUCUCCUGAGAAUUAUAUAGAAAUUAAUUUUUAGGUGAAAAAGCCUAAAUUUAGUUAUGGGACGAGAAGACCCCGUUGAGCUUUAACUAAUCUUGAGAAUAGGGAAAACAAUAAAGUGUAUUGAACUAAUUUUUAAGGUGUUUUUAGUGGGGGAAAACGGAGGAACAAAUGAAGCUUCCUCUUUUUAUAGUAAAUUAAGUAACACUUAAAAGGUGUGAAUAUAGUUAGAAAAUAAAUUAAGGCUGAUGUGCAGAGGUUUAAUAAAAGGAUCCGUUUAAUGUAUAAAAACGAUUAAGGGAGAGAGUUACCACGGGGAUAACAGCGUAAUUUCUUCUGGAGAGUUCAUAUUGAAGGAGGGGUUUGCGACCUCGAUGUUGGAUUAAGACAUCCUGAGGGUGUAGCAGCUUUCAAGGGUUGGUCUGUUCGACCAUAAAAGUCUUACA
rnacentral:rRNA from 1 species